rnacentral:misc_RNA from 1 species
GAUGAAGAACGUAGCGAAAUGCGAUACUUGGUGUGAAUUGCAGAAUCCCGUGAACCAUCGAGUUUUUGAACGCAAGUUGCGCCCGAAGCCGUUAGGCCGAGGGCACGCCUGCCUGGGUGUCACACAUCGUUGCCCCAAUGCCAAUCGCCUCACUUUGUAGGUAUUUGCUUGGGGUGAAUGUUGGCCUCCCGUGAGCUUUGUCUCACGGUUGGUUGAAAAUCGAGUCCUUGGUAGGGUGUGCCAUGGUAGAUGGUGGUCGAGUUAGAACGAUACCGAUCAUGUGCAUGCUCCCCAAAAUAUGGCCUCUAUGACCCACACGCGUCUUUUGACGCUCAUGACGAGACCUCAGGUCAGGCGGGGCUACCCGCUGAAUUUAAGCAUAUCAAUAAGCGGAGGA